rnacentral:misc_RNA from 1 species
GAUGAAGAACGCAGCGAAAUGGGAUAAGUAAUGUGAAUUGCAGAAUUCAGUGAAUCAUCGAAUCUUUGAACGCACCUUGCACUCCUUGGUAUUCCGAGGAGUACGCCUGUUCGAGUGUUAUGAAGCUCUCAAAACGCAAUUGGCUUAAAACCUGAUUGUUGUUUUGGAUUUGAACUUUGCCGUGUUAUAACGGCUGGUUUUAAAAGUAUUAGCUGGUACUAGAACGAAUUGGUUCUACUCAACGUGAUAAUUAUCUGAUCGUUGAGGACAUUCCUUUCACGAGGAAUGGCCAUAGUAAAUUCAAUGGACUGCUUCUAAUCUGGCUUUAAUUCUUUAUUGGAUUAACCACUUUUCAAAUCUGACCUCGAAUCAGGAGGGACUACCCGCUGAACUUAAGCAUAUCAAUAAGCGGAGGA